rnacentral:rRNA from 1 species
GAGUCUUUGAACGCAAGUUGCGCCCGAAGCCUCGGCCAAGGGCACGUCUGCCUGGGCGUCGCAA